GAAUUGCGAUACGUAAUGUGAAUUGCAGAAUUCAGUGAAUCAUCGAAUCUUUGAACGCACCUUGCGCCCCGUGGUAUUCCGCGGGGCACGCCUGUUUGAGUGUCACGUUAACCAUCGCGUCGUGGAUUGAACCAUUUGACUGCAAAGUCGAAUCAGUAUGUCUGCGAAGCGGAUUUGGAGGCCUGCCGUGCAAACGGCUCCUCUCGAAAUGCAUUAGCUGUCUUUAGACUUGCGCCGCUGGUGUGAUAAUUUACUUUCUCGCCUAUGGCAAAAGACUUGACGGUGGCUUAUAACCGCCCGCAAGGGCAACAAACUUAAGCUUUGACCUCAAAUCAGGUGGGACUACCCGCUGAACUUAA
rnacentral:misc_RNA from 1 species